rnacentral:sRNA from 1 species
GCUGGGCAUGGUGACGCAUGCCUGUAAUCCCAGCUACUCAGGAGACUGAGGCAAGAGAAUUGCUUGAACCCAGGAGGCGGAGGUUGCAGUGGGCCGAGAUCGCGCCAUUGCACUCCAGCCUGGGUAACAAGAGGGAAACUCCGUCUCAAAAAAUAAAAAAAAUUUUUUUUUGAGACAGAGUCUCACUCUGUCGCACAGGCUGGAAUGUAGUUGCACAAUCUCGGCCCACUGCAACCUCUGCCUCCUGGGUUCAAGCUAUUCUCCUGCCUCAG